rnacentral:rRNA from 1 species
AGUGAACGCUGGCGGCAGGCCUAACACAUGCAAGUCGAGCGGCAGCGGGUUCCCGCGAGGGGAUGCCGGCGAGCGGCGGACGGGUGAGGGACACAUCGGAAUCUGCCUGGUUGUGGGGGAUAACGUAGGGAAACGUUACGCUAAUACCGCAUGAGACCCUGAGUCGACGGACUGGGGUGGAAAGUGAGGGACCUUCGGCCGUCACGCGACCAGAUGAGCCGAUGUCGGAUUAGCUAGUUGGC